rnacentral:rRNA from 1 species
AAGGAAUAUUGCGCAAUGGGCGAAAGCCUGACGCAGCGACGCCGCGUGGGGGAUGAAGGUCUUCGGAUUGUAAACCCCUUUCGGGAGGGAAGAUGGAAUGGGGUAACCCAUUUGGACGGUACCUCCAGAAGCAGCUACGGCUAACUUCGUG